ACGUCCUUACUUGAACAGGAUCUGUUCUAUAGGGAAGUACAUUGUAUCCUUAGUAAAAAGGAGAUGGAAACCAAAGCUUGGUGGAUGAACCAGGACCGUGUGAUCAGAGGGUGAUUAAUGGCCAAGAUUCAAGCUGUGAAUCUCCUGGCUGUAGAGGAUCGUUCUCAGUGGCCAUGGUGGCUGAGAUGGUCACACGGUUGUCUGAUAGGC
rnacentral:snoRNA from 1 species